AGUCGUACUUACCCUACGCUUCAAGAAAAAUGAUAGGAAACCAGAGGCGGAGAGGAUGCUGGGAGUUUUUGACCAAGUCACGAUGGGAAAGGUAGUUUGCUUUUUCCGGAGGCAACGUUUCCGGGUUAGGCCGGGACGCCUGCCUACAUCCGGGCUCAGCUGAGCCGGUUGCUGGAAGGCUUGCCCGGAAGGCUAUCUCCCAGUUCUUGGUACUUUCUUGGCGUUAGCGUAUCUUUUCCGGAGUGGCCAUAUCAUAAUCCUUAUUUACUUUGGUUGGUUCAAAUGACGCUUAUCAUGGGGCCGGCCAGCGUUCAUUUUAUAUUAUUCGUCUUGUCUUCCUGUGUCUGACCCGCUCUCCUGCCAGCCCUUGGAGGUCAGGGAGCGAAUCGGCGUCCAUCGGGUCUGCAGGGGCCUAGCAAUGCCCCACUCAUUUCAGUUUUAAUAAAAUGUGUGGAAUUCAUUAUAAAGUGGCUUUGCUGCCAGAUGUUGAGGCGUCAAGGAGCUGGCGUCACUGCCUGGCUUGGCUGUGGUCCCUGAGCUGGAGAGAGACAUUAGCGUGACUUUUAGUGACCUCGGAGAAGCUAAACUCCCCACCCGGAAGUUUGAGGUUUAUAAAUGUUACUGCUGCACAGGAAGCACGGUCGGGACCGCAGCUUUGUCAGAAGUUAUUUUUCUGCUCGCUAGCGUGUGCAAGCAAAUUGUUUUCCUGAUGCGUCAAAAGGGAGUUUCCAUUGAUGAUCUUCAAGUUGUAGUCAUUAAUGCCAUGGUCCUCUCCCAUUCCUUCCCUUAAUCCCUAAUAAUCAAGGAACGAUUUGCAAGAAUAGUUCUUUACCUCUGGAAAAUAAAGUAUCCUGGGUUAAAAUCCUGAAAAGGAGGAAGAUGGAAAGAAGAUUUGGGGAUUCAAUUCCAAAUUUCUCUUUAAUCAUUAAAUUGAACUGCAGAUAACUGCUGAAGUACAUUUUUUCUUUCCAGUAUUUUACUUACCACUUAAGAUUAGGCAAAUGUUUUAUAUUCACUACGGAGUGUUUUGCACUUUGAUAGAGCUAAUGUCAUUUCCAGUUGUAAAAACGUUUGGCAUAUUGUCAUUGGGGGAUUUUUCAGUAUUUGCAGUGAGCAGACUUUUAAAACAGCACUGACAUCCAAUGGCUGCAUAAAGUAAUACAGAGAAAUAUCUGUUUUCCAAAAAAAAAAAAAAAAAGACAGUGGAAUGAUUCCUUAAACAAACAAGCAAAAGACCACUGUGUUUUAGAAGAAAGAUCAUGGGCUUUGACCUAAAAUGUGGAUUAUUGUAAGUAGAAAUGCUACCCUAGUCUGUUAUAAAUUACGAUUCCUUGAACCUACUUCACUGCUAAAAACUGGGUAAAAUGUAUUUUAAGAGGCAAUUAUUACAGUUCCUUACUGCCUGAUGGUAGGCCUUUGGUAAAUGUUUUAUUUCACCCGAUUGAAUAAAAUAACAGUGAUAAAAAAAAUUAAUCCCAGUGUCAGUUAAAAAAAAAUACUGCUACAGGGUAAUAUCACUAGGGGGGAAUUGUUUAAUUCAAAUGUCCACACAGUCUAGAACCUUGUAUCUUAAACUUUCCAGUUUUAUUUUUCAUUACUUCAUAGAUGUUUGCAUUUUGGACCACUGAAUAAGCCAGUGGCCAAGAAUCCAACUUCUGCCUUGCUUUUUAAAGGACUUACAAACUAUACAGGAAAGCAAGUAAGUUUAAUUUAUGAAUAAUUUAGUAAAGAAUUUGGUGUUAGUUAAUGCUGAUUGAAAUUUUAAGGUGGCUGUGCCUCUAUGGUCCCUCAGCUUCACAGAAAAAAAACAAAAAAGAGCAGUUUCUUAGUAACAUGAGUUAUCUAUCUACACUUGGGGAAAAAAACCCACAAGUGUAUACCUGCCAUUCCCAUUAGUUCAAGAUGAAUUUUGGCACAUAGCAGGUGUUCAAAAUUAGUUUUGAAUCUUUAUCACCCUGACCAAUGAACUACCAAAACUCAAACCUUCCAACCUGCUUCCUAUGUCGGUCCCAUUUUAAAAACUGUGACCUACAAGAAAAGAAGAAAUUCACCAAAUCAAAAGAGAGGAAGUGUUAAGCAAAUACAGGAACCAAA
rnacentral:lncRNA from 1 species